GCCGGGAUGGCCCAAUGGUAAGGCGCCAGCCUUGAGAGCUGGUUUCGCGCAAGCGAUCUGGGGGUUCGAUUCCCUCUCCCGGCG
rnacentral:tRNA from 1 species